rnacentral:rRNA from 1 species
UACAGAGACUGCAAGCGUUAUUCGGAUUCACUGGGCGUAAAGGGUGCGCAGGCGGCCGUGUGUGUGAGGCGUGAAAGCCCGAUGCUUAACAUCGGAAUUGUACCUCAAACUACACGGCUAGAGCAUUGGAGAGGGUAGCGGAAUUCACGGUGUAGCAGUGAAAUGCGUAGAUAUCGUGAGGAACACCAGAGGCGAAGGCGGCUACCUGGACAAUUGCUGACGCUCAGGCACGAAAGCGUGGGGAGCAAAAGGG